rnacentral:rRNA from 1 species
CCAACAGGGAUUGCCUCAGUAACGGCGAGUGAAGCGGCAAGAGCUCAGAUUUGAAAUCCGGCAUGCUAUGUGUGCCCGAGUUGUAAUCUGGAGAGAGGUCUUCGGCUUAGGCAUCGGUCAAGAUUCCUUGGAAUAGGAUGACACAGAGGGUGAGAAUCCCGUACCUGGCUGACCGCCAACGCCAUGUGAAGCUUCUUCGACGAGUCGAGUUGUUUGGGAAUGCAGCUCUAAAUGGGUGGUAAAUUACAUCUAAAGCUAAAUAUCUGCGAGAGACCGAUAGCGCACAAGUAGAGUGAUCGAAAGAUGAAAAGCACCUUGAAAAGAGAGUUAAAAAGUACGUGAAAUUGUUGAAAGGGAAGCGCUU